UACGUAGGAUCCAAGCGUUAUCCGGAAUUAUUGGGCGUAAAGCGUGUGUAGGCUUCUAUGCAAGUUUCUCGUUAAAGCCCGGGGCUCAACUCCGGAACCGUGAGAAAGACUGCAUGGAUGGAGGUACGAAGAGGCAGAUGGAAUUCCAAGUGUAGCAGUGAUAUGCGUAGAUAUUUGGAAGAACACCAAUGGCGAAGGCAGUCUGCUGGUCGUAAUCUGACGCUGAGACACGAAAGCGUGGGGAGCGAACGGG
rnacentral:rRNA from 1 species